CCUCCCCACCAUUCCCUCCAUCAUGCACAGCCACCUUCGAUAGCCUCUAUAGUAUUUUUUUUCUCUUCCAGCACUGAACAGUAUAGUGACACAUCACUGUACCUAUCAGACCAGAUCAUUUCUUCUUUUAAUACCUCCCAAACAUACUCUAAAGACUAGACCAUUCUUGCACCUCUCCUCUCCCUCUCUAUUUUUUCCUCUAUUUUUUUCAUAUU
rnacentral:lncRNA from 1 species